rnacentral:rRNA from 1 species
UACGAGGGGGGCAAGUGUUGUUCGGAAUCACUGGGCGUAAAGGGUGCGUAGGCGGCUUUCUAAGUUGGAUGUGAAAACUAUGGGCUCAACCCAUAGCCUGCAUCCAAAACUGGAGAGCUUGGGUUCUGGAGGGGAAAGCGGAAUUCCUGGUGUAGCGGUGAAAUGCGUAGAUAUCAGGAGGAACACCGGUGGCGAAGGCGGCUUUCUGGACAGAUACCGACGCUGAGGCACGAAAGCUAGGGGAGCAAACAGG